rnacentral:tRNA from 1 species
CAGAGGGUAGUUUAUUUAAAAUAUUAAUUUUGGAGAUUAAUGAAGAGAUUUUAUCUUUCCUCUGA